rnacentral:lncRNA from 1 species
UUUGUAGAUGUUAAUGCUCACUAUCCUUGAUAUUUAUCAUUUUGGUCCGCCGGUGACACACAUAACUUUUCGCGAUGUUGUUUACGUAUUGUGACUUCCGGUGGCGCUGUAUAUAUUGUUGUAUUUUUAGUUACUAUAGAAAUUUAUCUAGUACCAUGCAAACUUUGUUUAUUAUAUAAAGGUUACUAAAAUUGUAUAUUAUUGUGAUUUUUGUAAUUUAAUUUAAGAAUUCAAAUAUUUAGUUGGACGGCAAGCGCGCGAUCCAACAAUCCAACUAUCCAACAAUCCAACAAUCCAACAUUGACGUAAUUUCGACG